rnacentral:lncRNA from 1 species
UUGGAAUGUUUUUCUCAAGGCAUUGUCUAAAGAAUUCCAUGAUUUUAUGGUUUAGAAAAGCAUUGGUUCAUAUAAACUAUAUACUUCCUUUUAUGAUCAGCAUUAGUUUUCCUCCAUGUCUGAAUUAUCUUCUCUCUAUUGGACUUGAUAUUCCAUAUUGUUCUGCUAGUUUACGGCAGGAUUCCCCUACAUCAAUACGAUUUAAGAUCUCUGCCUUCUCUAAUGUUAGUUCAAUUAGUUUGCAUUUGCUCAUUGUGAAUACUGUACUAUUCUCCAUUUGGUUUUAAUGAAUUUGUAUGUGCUAUAAAAAAUUAACGAAAAUAUAUAUUAUAUACAUGCCUUUUACAGCACUUGAUAAAAUAAUUUCAUUAACACUAUGCUUUGCUACCAUUGUUGAAUUUUAAUAAAUUAAUAUCAAUGUUGACUAAACCUUUUUUCU